CCUUUGUCUGGGGCAUAGCCCGGAGAAAUCCGGAUUAACUCCCCAUAAUAUGGACUGGUGGCAUCACCAGGUCAUUAAAAAUUUAUGGACAGAGAUGAGUGUGCGUCCCAUAGCUAGUUGGUAGGGUAACGGCCUACCAAGGCGACGAUGGGUAGCUGGUGUGAGAGCACGACCAGCCACACGGGCACUGAGACACGGGCCCGACUCCUACGGGAGGCAGCAGUGAGGAAUAUUGGUCAAUGGACGCAAGUCUGAACCAGCCAUGCCGCGUGAAGGAUGAAGGCCUUCUGGGUUGUAAACUUCUUUUAUGUGGGAAGAAACCUCUGAUUUCUAUUAGAGUUGACGGUACCAUAGGAAUAAGCACCGGCUAACUCCGUGCCAGCAGCCGCGGUAAUACGGAGGGUGCAAGCGUUAUCCGGAUUUACUGGGUUUAAAGGGUGCGUAGGUGGCUUUGUAAGUCAGUGGUGAAAGCCCGGAGCUCAACUCCGGAACUGCCAUUGAUACUGCUUAGCUUGAAUCACGUCGAGGUGGAUGGAAUAUUACAUGUAGCGGUGAAAUGCUUAGAUAUGUAAUAGAACACCGAUUGCGAAGGCAGUUCACUAGGCGUGUAUUGACACUGAGGCACGAAAGCGUGGGGAUCAAACAGGAUUAGAUACCCUGGUAGUCCACGCCCUAAACGAUGUAAACUCGACGUUAGCGAUAUACAGUUAGCGUCCAAGCGAAAGCGUUAAGUUUACCACCUGGGAAGUACGACCGCAAGGUUG
rnacentral:rRNA from 1 species